rnacentral:rRNA from 1 species
GUCGAGGGGCAGCAUGGUCUUAGCUUGCUAAGGCCGAUGGCGACCGGCGCACGGGUGAGUAACACGUAUCCAACCUGCCGUCUACUCUUGGACAGCCUUCUGAAAGGAAGAUUAAUACAAGAUGGCAUCAUGAGUCCGCAUGUUCACAUGAUUAAAGGUAUUCCGGUAGACGAUGGGGAUGCGUUCCAUUAGAUAGUAGGCGGGGUAACGGCCCACCUAGUCUUCGAUGGAUAGGGGUUCUGAGAGGAAGGUCCCCCACAUUGGAACUGAGACACGGUCCAAACUCCUACGGGAGGCAGCAGUGAGGAAUAUUGGUCAAUGGGCGAGAGCCUGAACCAGCCAAGUAGCGUGAAGGAUGACUGCCCUAUGGGUUGUAAACUUCUUUUAUAAAGGAAUAAAGUCGGGUAUGGAUACCCGUUUGCAUGUACUUUAUGAAUAAGGAUCGGCUAACUCCGUGCCAGCAGCCGCGGUAAUACGGAGGAUCCGAGCGUUAUCCGGAUUUAUUGGGUUUAAAGGGAGCGUAGAUGGAUGUUUAAGUCAGUUGUGAAAGUUUGCGGCUCAACCGUAAAAUUGCAGUUGAUACUGGAUAUCUUGAGUGCAGUUGAGGCAGGCGGAAUUCGUGGUGUAGCGGUGAAAUGCUUAGAUAUCACGAAGAACUCCGAUUGCGAAGGCAGCCUGCUAAGCUGCAACUGACAUUGAGGCUCGAAAGUGUGGGUAUCAAACAGGAUUAGAUACCCUGGUAGUCCACACGGUAAACGAUGAAUACUCGCUGUUUGCGAUAUACUGCAAGCGGCCAAGCGAAAGCGUUAAGUAUUCCACCUGGGGAGUACGCCGGCAACGGU